CCCGCCCGUCAAUCACGCCUCCUCUCUCCCUUUCCUUCCCUGUGCACGCCUCCCGUCCGGCCGUACCCUCCCCCACCCGAUCCAUCCCAGCCGCCUCGGUACCUCGCGCCGCCUGGGUCGAACCUCGCCGACGCCCCCGAAUCGCCGGACUUGGCGCUGGCUGAGCCGCGCGGGUUCCUGCCCCGGGUGCAGAGCGGCGCCGUGCGCGGCGUAGGCGUGGGGAGGUGCAUGCGCUGUGGAGUAACCUGACCCGGCGGGUGGCGCCGGUCGCCGGGCCGCCUGGUUCCGCUCCGCAUGAUUUGCACACACACGCGACACGCUCAUCUCCGUGGUGGAUCUCCGCCACCGCAUCCAUCCCCUGCGACGAGACGGGAGCGUCGCCGGCCGCCUUCCCAUCGAUGGCGCGCGGAGCAUCGACGCGCACUGAUCUCCAGCGUCGGUGGGCCGCCCUCCUCUCCCCAGCCCCAGCCCCAGCCCACCCUCUCUCUCUCUCUCUCUCUCUCUCUCUCUCUCUCUCUCUCUCUCUCUCUCUCUCUCUCUCUCCCUCUCCCUCUCUCUCUCUGCUGUGUUCUUGUACCCGGAGCUCUGGUGCCUGCAGCACACUCCAUCUCCAGCAGAACCUGUCCAUCCCCGGCACUUCCUGCACAAGGUACAAACAAGAUUCGCCGCAUCACGGACAUCAAGAACGCCAUGACCUCCCCACCCGCUCAUCUCUAAUUUUAUUCCUGCCGGAUGUGAGAGGUCAGUGCAGUCCACGAUAUUCAGUUUCGACAUUGAAAUAUCUGCUACUUUAUCGAAAUAAGAAUAGUAUAAAGAUACAUGACUCUGCUGGAAGUUGUGAUAAAAAUGAAAGUGACAUGCUUGAAUCAAUAUAUUUGAGGUAAACUUAUAUACAAGAGUUUCUCAAGGAUACUGAAAGAAAAUGUUAUUUCCUGAUCACUGUUUUGUGGUGUCCAGUAAUGAAAACUCUAAAACAGACAGGUUAUGUUCAUUAUCCAAUUCCUUGCUUCAGUUGUUGUGGUGACUGGAUUUUUCCUUGGAAAGUUUGUCAAAAGAAAUAUAUAUCCCUCAGGGGUCGGGGAUCCCUGUUGGUGAGCUUGCCCUUUACACUGCCUUGGGAGGAGUUCAUCCAUCAGUUCAUCCAUCUCACUGAAAAGGCCUCAGAUCCAGAGCAACCAUGGGGAGGGCGGGCUGUUGCAGGGUGGAGCGUGAGCACCAGCAGGGUGGAGCAGCAGGGUGCAGCAGCGGCCGGUGGCGGGAGCAGGUUCAGCGGCGGUGGGUCAGCAGGCUGCCGGCGGCGGGAGCAACAGCAGCAAGGGCCAGGGCGGCGGGCGGCGGCGACUGGCUUCGAAGCCACGGCGGAUGGGGAGGCGAGGGCAAACAAGUCAUUUCCCAUGGCUUGCUGGAUUAAAGAAAAUUAAAAAUUUGGGAAAUGCUAACGGAAGUCACCGGAAUGGUAUAUUUGCGAACUGAGUGGUCUUUCGAUGGUAUUAAUGUGUACUCCCUCUGUCUUUUUUCGAUGGUAUUAAUGUGUACUCCCUCUGUCUUUUUUAAGUAUGUUAGUGUGCGUGUCACAAAUUUGAUUUGAUUUGUAGAAAAACAUAUAAUAUUUGUAUUUUUAAAUAAAUUUAUUAAAAUAAUAUAUUAAAAGAUCUAUCUAAUGACAUUAAUUAUGUAUCAUAAAUGUUAAUAUUUUUUAAUAUAAAAUUAAUCAAAGUUAUUUUUUGAGAAGCGAAAGCGACAGUUAUUUAGAGACGGAGGGAGUAUCAAGAUGAUUCGAUGGUAGUUUUGAAACGGGGAUCUUUCAAUGUCACAGAUUUAAUUUUGCCUAACAAUUAAAUGGUAUAAAUAUAUACUAAGUGCAUCAUUAGAUUACAGACUAUAACACCUAUGUAAAAAUAAUAGAACGAUAGAUCUAUCUUAACUACUUCGCUUAUUGUAAAGUCUACAUCUACUAGGAGUAUAAUACUACGACGCGGGAUAGGGUCUUAGUAAUAAAAGUUCAACACAAAUUAAAUAGAGAAUUAAAUAUUAAAUUAGGAAGCAUCAAUUUUAUCUAAUUUUGUCUGAAAAAAGGUUCGCCGCUCCAUCUCCCGUUCGCCGCCGCUCGCUCCCGCCCUUCGCUGCCUGCUCUCUCGCUCCUGCCGCUACUGCUUCGCCUGCCGUCACGGCGCCCCAUGGCAUCUUGCUCCAGUCUGCAAUGGCCACUUUCGAGGUCCCCCAGUGGUGCAAGAUAGCUAGCGUCCUUAGCCGCCGUCGACGGAGGUUCCCCCCGAUUCCCCGGAACCAUAACGGCGCGGCGACGGAGAGGCUCCAAAUUCAUUUCCCGCGCCUCGCCUGGAGCCCUGGAUGUUCUCUGAUCACCGUCAUCGUACAGCUGGUGCAGUCUUCUCCUUGGUGAGUCAAACGGCAGCUCGGUCGUCCCGGUCUAAUUAGUUGCCUUCGCCGUGAGCAGGUAUACGAGCCACACUCCCUCCUAUGGCAUAUUUCUUUGUGUCUUGACAGUAAAUGGAGGGGAUUGAAGUAUUCGUGAUUCUACACCUUUUAUCUGUCAACAAUAUUUACUGCAAGUUUUCCUUUUCUUUUUACCCAGAUCAACUGGGGAUGGAAGAAAUGUUGCCUGCUGAAAUGUUGGAUAAGCGAGCAGAAAUUGUUGUUGAUAACUUCAUCUGAUAGGAGUCUUUUGAAUUCAAGGCCAAGAAACAAGACCAUUGGAGCGAUGCAUUUUGAUGGGCAAUGCAAAACAGAGAGGAUAGAUCGCCUCAUAUGUUCAGGCUAUACUUUUUUUUUUGAAACUGUUCAGGCUACACUUAUUAUAAUCAGAUAUGUACAUUUUCAAUUUUUCUGAUCCAGAACUUGUUCUACACCCAGCCUACAAUGCCCUGCCCCUCCCUGAACUGGGACCCCACGGCUAGCUGCCGCGUGAUCAGCCCCCAUCAACACCAUACCGUCGGUGUAGAUGUCGCUUUUCUGGUCCAUCUUUACUGUGUAUCAAUACUCUGCACAAUUUCCAUUAAUCUACUUGUUUUCAGUUCUGAUGGUUAAAUUUUCUGUUGCUCCUAUCAAUCGAUGGGUGCAUCAGUCCAAGGUGAACAAGAACAAGGAGAUACACCUAUUUUAAUGGGAAAACCCUUGCAGGAGAAAACCACAGAUGCACAAUCAGACAACCUUGCAUGGUCAAUAUAGGAGGAACCUAUUUGUCUCAGAAGAUGGGCAUUAAUUUCUCCCUGUGGGGUAAUCCCACUUUAGGCAUACGAGCCCUUCACUCCCACAGACUGUUUAGAGUUUGUUGGGAAUAGGAAGCAACUCCAAAGAAAUGGUCCCACAAUAUGUUUCCUGUGUGUGCACCAUCCCAAGUUUCCAUUACCUUGAGCAAUACAUGUGCCUUUUAUCAAGCAUUUGGCAUGUUGCAGCUAAUGCUCUUUGUUACAUGGAACAAUAUCAGUGUUCUAAUAUGUUGCUUUAAAACUUUCAAUUUGUACCCAUUGCAUCUUUUUUUUAUUGUGCUUUCUUUAUUUUUCCCAUCUUGCAAUUAUUUUUCUUUUUGUCUGAGAAUACCCAUAUUCCCCAAUGCCGUAUCUAACAGAAAUACACUGCUUGCAAUUCUUACAGAGGUGAGCUCCAAUUUCUUUCUUCUUUCCUGGGUCUACAUAAGUGACUUUAAAGGCUGCCACAUGGAAUCGACAAGGCUACUAAAACUACAAAACUUAACUGAAUGAUGGCUGUAUACGCGGUGAGAUCACUUUUUUUUUCUCGAUACGCAGGUGGUCCAAUUACAAUAGCCAGCAUGUCACCUUGGACCAGAGUGAGGGCUACCAAAACCAGGGAGAACUGUUACAAAGAAAGGAUGAACCUAGGACUUGACCACACAACACCUAAAAACCUAAACUUGCUCAACUAUCCUACCCGGGUACAGGGCAGCAAGCCCCUUAGCCCCAGCAAACCUCCAAAGCAGGGAUUCAUCCUUGAAAUCCUGGAGUGCCCGCUGCAGAUUUGGGGCCAUCCCAUCAAAGACACAUGCAUUCCUGUGUUUCCAUAUUAUCCAAGCUCCGAGAAUGCAUAGGGAGUUGAAGCCCUUCCUAUGUUGCUUCUGUAGUUUCUUCCAAGACCUUCUCCACCAAUCAGCAAAGGAGCCAAUGCUACUACCUGGCGUCAGGUGGGAUAAGUUUAGAGGCUGCAGGACACCAAACCAGAAUUGACGCGCGAAAACACAAGAGGUGAGAAUGUGCUGAACAUUUUCCUCUUCUUGGUUGCAAAGAGGGCAGCGCUCCAGAUGAGGGAGGCAUCUUUUUUGCAGCUGGUCCGCUGUCCAACAGCGAUUUCGAAUUGCCAACCAAACGAAGGUUUUGAGAUCACUUUUUGCUAACCUCUUAUUUGUUCACUGGAUUUUUUGGUCUCCGUCUAGGAGCGUAGUCAGUGUUAGCUAGCCAGAUUAAUCAAUCCUGUGGUUUUAGGUGGAUAUUCUGUUGUGGGGGUACAUAUGUUGGACUAAUUAACAAUGCAACUGAAGGUGUAUUCAAAUUAAUCUUGGCCUAUAUAGACUAUGUGGCUGCUACGGUGGAACAAUGAUGAGAACAAAUCUUCAUUCGUGUCUCAUGUGAAUCAGUUUAGACCUGGCUGUUCCUUUUGUUGUAGCAUGUGCAUAAGUUGACAUGAAGCUUACAUAGACAACAAACGGGCAGUUGGUGGCUGUAUGUGUUCCCAAUUUGUUCUAGUAGUUUGUUUCAUUGGUUGGCCUCAGUUCCAGACUCCAGUUUAUUUUCCGAGGAUAGCCUAGCUUUGGAAGCUUUCUUAUUAGCGUACAUGGUGCGCCCUCCAUCAUAGUUCCCUAACUGGAUCAUGCAUUGUGCCAUAAUCCAGAUAGUGCUAUACUAUCAUUAGUAUCAUGUUUAGCUAAACAUGAGUACUAGUAUGGGUUUGAGGGUUCCAGAUGGAUUGGUGUGCCCAUGGCGAGCAAAGCUAAGUUUUGGCUGGUCUGAAUUCUGAGAAUGAAGAGAGCACAUGAUCAAUGCUAGCCGCGGAAAAGAUUGGGAGAAGUUUCUUUGGAAUUCUGUCUUGUUUCCUGGUCAAACUCUGGCAGAACCCUUCAAUCGUGGCUACUGACUCCAUUUGUGGGGAGGGAGAGAUGCCAACUAACCCAAUACGCACUUUUUGACUUUUUCUCUCUUGUCCUGCAUUGAGAAUUAAAAAAAAAAAGAUCUGGUACUCGGCAUCGAUCAUGAGUUCAUGACUUAUUUUUUUUAAUCCUCCCCGGAUCGAGCACUAGAUCAAGAAACUAGCAGAUCACAUGUUUCGUCAGCGCUUAUGCAUGCUGACAAAGAGCAAGGCGAAGCUGAUGGUAUGUAUUCAACCACCGUGCUCGGCUUCUCCCAUGUGGCCGUAAUCGUAGCUCAUCCAUAUACAUAAUAUCUCGCCAGCAUCCAUAUGCAUCACUGGAUCGCCGGCUGAUUUAUACUUAAAAUAAUUUAACUGGAUUGUUAGCAGCUAUAUGCGUUAGUUGAUGAUCACUCUGUUCGCUGGGCUGGAGCUGGAGCUGGUGGCUGGAGUGGUGUGAGAGAAAAAUACUGUUGGCUGGCUGGUGGCUGGAAGCUAGUGCUGGAGCGAUGUGAGAGGAAAACACUGUUGGGCUGGAGGCUGCUGGAGCUGCCGAACAGAGUGGAUGAACUCUGUAUCUGCUAGCAUUGAUUGCGUCCUGUUUGACAUUGGUUUUUUUAAUUUUUGUUGAAAUUCUUGUCUAAGCUAAGCUCGUCUCGGGUACAAAUGAAUCACAUGAAACACAGAUUUUGAGCAUUAUUUAACCUAAAAAAGUUUGCUUGUAAUUUAAUAGCA